CUAGGUUUUAUGGUUUGGAAAUCAAGAACCCUAGAAGUUACUGAUGAAGUUAGCAUGGCCCCUGUGCAGGGAUGACACACGAAUUCGUGAAAUGUUCCAUAUUUUU